UAGAAGAAGACAGCAGACCAGCGCGGCAACUGUUGAAAUGUUCCUUUUGUCAGCAGGAGCAUUACGUAACUGCCAGAAGAAGAGAUGGCAGAUGGAAUGACUUUCAAUCAAGGAGCAUUACAUAACUGCCAGAAGAGGAGAUAGCAGAUGGAAUGACUUUUAAUCAAGGAAAGGACGCUCAGCGGGGACUCAGCUUGAUGUCCGACCUGAAGCCCGGGCGCCUGCUGCUUGUUUGCAGGGGGCCCGAUCCGGCCAUGACCCCUGUAAUGGUUUCUGUGGUUGGAACCACUUCCAUAGUCACAUGAGAACCAGACCCGGACCACGUUCUUUUUAAGGUCCAGCUUCUCGGCGAUGGCGGCGAUCUUCUCCGAGGAGGGCCGAGGCUGCACGGCGAAGUAGGCCUCCAAGGAGCGCUUCUCCGGGGCGGCGAUGGACGUGCGUUUCCGCUUCUU